rnacentral:rRNA from 1 species
UGGGGAAUAUUGCACAAUGGGCGCAAGCCUGAUGCAGCAACGCCGCGUGAGGGACGACGGCCUUCGGGUUGUAAACCUCUUUUAGUAGGGAAGAAGCGAAAGUGACGGUACCUGCAGAAAAAGCACCGGCUAACUACGUGCCAGCAGCCGCGGUAAUACGUAGGGUGCGAGCGUUGUCCGGAAUUAUUGGGCGUAAAGAGCUCGUAGGCGGUCUGUCGCGUCUGCUGUGAAAACCCGAGGCUCAACCUCGGGCCUGCAGUGGGUACGGGCAGACUAGAGUGCGGUAGGGGAGAAUGGAAUUCCUGGUGUAGCGGUGGAAUGCGCAGAUAUCAGGAGGAACACCGAUGGCGAAGGCAGUUCUCUGGGCCGUAACUGACGCUGAGGAGCGAAAGCGUGGGGAGCGAACAGGAUUAGAUACCCUGGUAGUCCACGCCGUAAACGUUGGGCGCUAGAUGUGGGGACCAUUCCACGGUUUCCGUGUCGCAGCUAACGCAUUAAGCGCCCGCCUGGGGAGUACGGCCGCAAGGCUAAAA